UACAGAGGGGGCGAGCGUUGUUCGGAAUUACUGGGCGUAAAGGGCGCGUAGGCGGCCUCUUAAGUCGAACGUGAAAUCCCCGGGCUCAACCCGGGAACUGCGUCCGAUACUGGGGGGCUUGAAUCCGGGAGAGGGAUGUGGAAUUCCAGGUGUAGCGGUGAAAUGCGUAGAUAUCUGGAGGAACACCGGUGGCGAAGGCGGCAUCCUGGACCGGUAUUGACGCUGAACGGCGAAAGCUAGGGGAGCAAACGGG
rnacentral:rRNA from 1 species